CAGCCGCCGCGGUAAUACAGAGGGUGCGAGCGUUAAUCGGAUUUACUGGGCGUAAAGCGUGCGUAGGCGGCUUCUUAAGUCGGAUGUGAAAUCCCUGAGCUUAACUUAGGAAUUGCAUUCGAUACUGGCAGGCUAGAGUCUUGUAGAGGGGGGUAGAAUUCCAGGUGUAGCGGUGAAAUGCGUAGAGAUCUGGAGGAAUACCGGUGGCGAAGGCGGCCCCCUGGACAAAGACUGACGCUCAGGUGCGAAAGCGUGGGGAGCAAACAGGAUUAGAUACCCGAGUAGUCCCUGUCUCUUAUAC
rnacentral:rRNA from 1 species